rnacentral:rRNA from 1 species
CAGUCGCCGCGGUAAUACGUAGGUGGCAAGCGUUGUCCGGAAUUAUUGGGCGUAAAGCGCGCGCAGGCGGUUUCUUAAGUCUGAUGUGAAAGCCCCCGGCUUAACCGGGGAGGGUCGUUGGAAACUGGGAGACUUAGAGUGCAGAAGAGGAGAGUGGAAUUCCAUGUGUAGCGGUGAGAUGCGUAGAUAUAUGGAGGAACACCAGUGGCGAAGGCGACUCUCUGGUCUGUAACUGACGCUGAGGCGCGAAAGCGUGGGGAGCAAACAGGAUUAGAUACCCCUGUAGUCCCUGUCUCUUAUA